rnacentral:lncRNA from 11 species
GCCAGAAAUUGAAAACCCAGCAGUGUCGCACCAGUAAGGAAAUACACUUGAAACUUCAGCCUAUAUUCGGGUCUACAGUAGCAAGCUCAAGCGAGAUUUAUGCACGAAAAACGAACCAUGCAUUACAUAUGCCUGAUUCGAUUCGAAUAACUAGAAGGGAGUCACUUACUUAUAUACUACUGACAUAGAUUCGUAUGACUCACGUCUGGACAUAUUUUUGGGUUAUUUUGAUGCUGCCUGUUCAACAACGAAACGCUGAAGUCGGUGUGGCUAGCGUUACCAACCAGUCGAGUUUGAAACCUAUCGUGCUUUUCUGUACGCCCUCAUGUACCAUACACGGUUUUCGUCGCUUAAACAUUGGUAGAACCUCACAAACACACUUUUACGUCUCAUGUAUGAUAACAAUGACGAGCAACAAGCUCAGACAUCGGGUCCUGCCUCGUCAAGUCAUCUUCAACGCGAUUUAGAGUUUAUCACCAGCCUUCAGACCCACUCGGAUACGUUCUACUUACUGGGUAUGUGCGAAGGAAGCAGGGUAGCCCAGGCCAUGAAGGCGAAGUCCCGUGAAGACAACUGGCGAACCGUCGGCGUUGGAAGACCGGCCAAAAGACUGACAGAUACUAAAAGGGUUGUCAGCGUUCCUCUACCUAGACAGCCGUUAACGAGAUAUAGGGUUUCCGAUGUGCUGACCAUGGACGACUGGACUCCAGCGCUUGACUUUGGAAUGUUGUUUCAACAUGAGCAUAAUACACAAGCUGAUCGCGAUAAUCGAUAUCCAUGACGUACGAUUGAACGACAACUGGGAUAUUAGCGCUAUCCACUGUAAAAGCUUCUUUUAGGUUCCAGAAUUCUCUCUGCUUUGCCAAGAUAUAAGCAUGCGGAAGGAUCGACUGCAUAUACGCAUCUAGCUCCUGACCGCUGUAUCGUGACAGACUCUUGCCUUUCGUCGAUUCAAAUGACUAUACCGGACUGCCUUAAUAAAGCACAACCGAAGUGAUCGUCAGUGUGAAUAAGCAUAUCGCAGACGACUUUCCGCGGACACACCAAUUGUGAUCAUCCGA